UCGAUUAGAUACCCGCGUAGUCCCAGCCGUAAACGAUGCUCGCUAGAUGUCAGGCAUGGCGCGACCGUGUCUGGUGCCGCAGGGAAGCCGUGAAGCGAGCCACCUGGGAAGUACGGCCGCAAGGCUGAAACUUAAAGGAAUUGGCGGGGGAGCACAACAACGGGUGGAGCCUGCGGUUUAAUUGGACUCAACGCCGGACAACUCACCGGGGGCGACAGCAAUAUGUAGGCCAAGCUGAAGACUUUGCCUGAAUCGCUGAGAGGAGGUGCAUGGCA
rnacentral:rRNA from 1 species